UUGAGCUAGCCCCCUAAAACAAGUGCCAGAGCCCCCCGUCUAGAGCACAGAGAACGAGGCAGGUGUCCUCAAAGGUCUUCAGAGGAAGAGGAGUCUGCCUGUCCACAUCUGUCUUAGCCACCACUGACGUCGGGCAGAGGUAGUAUCCCUCUGGAGAUCCUCAAAUUAAACUAUUGCUUGACCUUUGGGGCUUUUCCAAUCCCUUUGCAAGAGUACUUUGGGAUAAUCUCUGUUUGGCAUACGGAGAGCGGGGUGUCUCUGCACAAGUGGCCUGCCUGGAAAGGCUAUUCCUGCCUCCGUUGCUCUGUCUACCUGGAGAUAUUCUUAAACACCCAGAAGUUACCUGUGGGAAGGGGAGAGGAAGGCGCCUGGUUAGAGGAAUGUAAUUACAACUAAGGCAAUAUGUGCACAAGGUACCCGAAAGCCAGACUGCUUCACGAGCUGCUGAUAGGUUUUUAUUUUGUCAGCUAGGAAGACUAGUUUGUCCUCCUUCGAUUUUACGUAGCACCUCGGGUAAUGGAGCCAGGAACCCUGCAGGGACAUCCACAUGAGAUUUGCAAGAAUUCUUCACUUCUGAUGUACAAUUUGUAAAGCAUUCGGGAUUCAGAAUCAAAUCAAAUCAGCUACCUGUUCUCGAAACGGUUACCAUCUACACCUGUACCUGGACACUUGCCUGACCCACUGCACACCCUGGAUGGCGUUCUGCUUAUGAACAGCAAGUCAACACCUUCUCUUCUUGUCGCUCAGAGUUCACCCCUUGACGCGUAGUGCGGUAUUUAAGCCCUGCUCCGACCACCAAGAUGUUUGUAUGGACCCAUCAUUAUCACAUUGAUUUCUUCCCACAAAGCCCCUUUGUGUCAAGGGAGCGUUUUCCCAUUUCACAGGUGGGAGGAGAAGUGACAAGACAAGACGCUGAGGGACGUUCGCAAAUUCCAAGUCCUCAGGUUGGGACACCCAGAAUUGGAUCUUUGAGUAGUCGGUAUUAAAUAGUACUUUACACACACCGUCCGAAAAAGAACAUCUCCCACUGACCAAAGUUUCAGCUCUUAGCACGCAGGCUCUGAGUCACAGUUCAGCAAUCCAGAAAAUAAGGAGCAUGCGAGCAGGGGAAUGCUCGACUGAAAAACAUUCAUGUGUUGCACCUAUGCAGAGGCAGGGCCAGGAUCCAGCUCUCGGAGGAAGCACUGGGGCCGUUCCUGCUUUUCCCUGCUUUGCCCAUUGCACACCAGCCAACGUCUCCCACAAAAUGCAGUUUAUAGUCCUGCCUUUAUGGGCUUUUCAGAAAGCAUUGCAGAGAAUUCCUCUUCAAGGUUUUAUAUGGGAAAUCCUGGAAAAUACCUAUAAACCAUCCCCAGCUGACUUUCAAUGAAUGUGAAUAUAGAGUUCCCUGGUAGAAUAAACAUUUAUUGCACAGAUAAAACAAAAAUGGGGAAAUGCUUCUCCUAAUAUUUGGAAAACAUGGGAAUAAUUGGGAAUAAUUCUACCUGGGUUCCUCAUAUAGCAUUAGCCUCAACCACUGUCACACAAACAGGUGGUUUUGGGAUAACACCUGUAUUCCUUUUCUUUGGCAGACAAAUAUAAGCAUCCUCUGUCUUUCAGCGGUGACUGCUCAGUUCCAACAGUGAGACCAUGUCCCCUGGACUCUUUAGAGAUGGAAAGAAUCUUCAUGUCCAUCCUGACGACACUUCAAAGGCCUCUCAGCACACAGACAUCUGGUACCUCUGCGUCCAGCAAUCUCCCAGUGCUCGAGUUAAAAGGAACGUGGCAAGCAGUUACACUUCUCCAAUAACCCAAAAUUUUAGUCUUGGCUUGGCAACUGCGGGACAGUGGAGGUUUUGCCUGGAACUCAGUGUAGUUUUAAGUUGUGCAGAUAUCCUGGGAUUUGCAUGCUGUAGUAGAUCACUUAUUUGUUCAUUCAUUUGUGUGAAUAAUAAAUGAGUGAAAGACA